CUCCCCCGAGCAGCCCGGGCCCGGCCGGAGCUUCCCUCUCGGGAACGCCGAGGGGUCCGGAGGUUUCCUGGGAGCGUCGCCGAGAGGUGACCUCCAUCUCCCCGGGGGGAGGCUGCACAAAGUCUGAUGCCUCAACAAGGCGUGAUGAAAGUCUGAUGGCAAAAAAAUCGGGACUUUGCAAGUUGGUGGAGCACUGAGCCUUUAUGUGUGGUGGUUUCCCAGCUUUCUCCCACUGCCUCGUGGAUUUGGUCAUCCACCCGCUGCGGCAGUCGUGCCCCGAGGGCUGGGCUCCCCAGCCCCAAACCUUUCCACCUGCCCCUUUGUGUGGCAUUGGGACCACAAAUCCCUGUCUGGGCCCUGCAGGCGGUACAAGGAGAUGAUGGCCAGGGUGGGGGCAGUAGCAGUGCGAUCCCUUCGCUCUGCUGCAUGCUGGAAAGCGAACGGCACCGAGCUGUUCAGGAGGUGCCCUGCCAGGCAGUAAAGCCCCCGGCCUCCACACUACGAGCCUCCUUUCCUGGUACCCAAGCCUAAAGACAGGGGACUUGACCCCAGUUCGUUUUUUUUUGUGUCAGGUACACAAGGAAGUGUCACCAAUUUCCUGUCACACAAAUAAAAGCCGAGAGUUAAUGAGUAACCUCGGUUAAUAACAAAUGCUGGGAUUUUCGGGAACUUUAAACCCCCAACAGCCAUCAAAACGUUAACUCUGAAGCACGGCUUUAGGCCACGAGGCGCCCGGGAACGCCAACAGGCGCGCACUGCUGUGAAAGGGAACCAACCCCAACUGCGCCAUGGACAGGCAGCACCCGAGUGAAGUAAAUUAACGUGAUGGGCAAACAGGGAAGGGAAAGGGAGCUGGAACCUCGUGGGCCCUGUGGCUGCAGCUCGGGGUGAUGCCUCCCCAAAGGUCUUGCUGGGACCCAGCCAGACCGGCGGUGCUGGGAGCUGGGGGCAGCCCGCGCCCUCCCUGCUGGUGCUGCCGCCAGGACGGCUCCGGGCUGGGACUCGCCUGUAAUUAGUGGGGCUCGCGCCCUCGCUGACAGUUAGCCUAACUGCUGCUUAGGCUGGGGCAGGGAACGGAAACAACCUGCAAACAUCCAUGUGAGUGCAGCUCCUGCAUGCCCUGAGCACCGCAGCGAGGCUGGGGGCCCUGCAGUUGUGUUUUAGCCUGGAUCCCAGCAAAAAGCACAGCCCUGCCCGCAGGUACAGGCGGUAGAGGGAUGGAGACUGCAAAACUUUCCUCCUGGGAGCGCGGUGCUGGAGAGAGCCCGGCCAGCUCUCCGCAGGAGCCCCGUCACAUGAGCCCCAGAUAUUUAAAGCAGAUUCCCUGGCACCUCUUGAAAGCAGAAACCAGAUGGGAUGAAGGAGCCACGCAGUACCGGAAAGAGCAGUUUUAUUCCACCUGCUGAUGGGCAAAAAGGAAGGCUUGUAUGUUACGAGCAAAGGACACAAUAUCUCUGCAAGACACGCCGGGCACACGUGCUGGCUGAUAUUUACAAUGCUUGACUGAGCAAACUGCGCAGGGUAUACAGAGAGACAAAGAAAGUCAAGGAAAAGGGGAAGGGGAAGAGGAACUGUUCUGAGAAGAGAAGCCAAUAAAGUUGUGUGGAAUGAGAAA